CCUACGGGAGGCUGCAGUGGGGAAUAUUGCACAAUGGGGGAAACCCUGAUGCAGCGACGCCGCGUGAGUGAAGAAGUAUUUCGGUAUGUAAAGCUCUAUCAGCAGGGAAGAAAAUGACGGUACCUGAUUAAGAAGCCCCGGCUAACUACGUGCCAGCAGCCGCGGUAAUACGUAGGGGGCAAGCGUUAUCCGGAUUUACUGGGUGUAAAGGGAGCGUAGACGGCAGCACAAGUCAGGAGUGAAAUGCCCGGGCUUAACCCCGGAACUGCUUUGGAAACUGGGCAGCUAGAGUGCGGGAGAGGUAAGUGGAAGUCCUAGUGUAGCGGUGAAAUGCGUAGAUAUUAGGAGGAACACCAGUGGCGAAGGCGACUUACUGGAAUGUAACUGACGUUGAGGCUCGAAAGCGUGGGGAGCAAACAGGAUUAGAUACCCUUGUAGUC
rnacentral:rRNA from 1 species